rnacentral:rRNA from 1 species
UUUGAACCCUAUAAAAGGUAACGCCUGCCCAGUGACUUUAUGUUUAACGGCCGCGGUACUCUGACCGUGCAAAGGUAGCGUAAUCACUUGUCUUUUAAAUAAGGACUAGUAUGAAUGGCAUCACGAGGGCUUAGCUGUCUCCCUAAUCUAAUCAGUGAAACUGAUCUCCCUGUGAAAAAGCAGGGAUUUUCACAUAAGACGAGAAGACCCUAUGGAGCUUUAAACCAAUAACUACCUGUUUAAUCUAUUAUACUAAAUAAUACUAAAGCAACCGAUCUAGUUAAGGUUUUCAGUUGGGGUGACUGUGGAGAAUAACAUAUCCUCCACGCAGACUUAAGCUUUGAGCAACCGCUCUACGCAUUAGCAAGUCUAACUGCACUUGAUCCAAUAUUUUUGAUCAACGGACCAAGUUACCCUAGGGAUAACAGCGCAAUCCAUUUCAAGAGUCCAUAUCGACAAAUGGGUUUACGACCUCGAUGUUGGAUUAGGACACCCAAGUGGUGCAGCCGCUACUUAAGGUUCGUUUGUUC